CUUGGUUGAUCCUGCCAGUAGUCAUAUGCUUGUCUCAAAGAUUAAGCCAUGCAUGUGUAAGUAUGAACUAAUUCAGACUGUGAAACUACGAAUGGCUCAUUAAAUCAGUUAUAGUUUGUUUGAUGGCAUAUACUACUCAGAUAAUCAUAGUAAUUCUAGAGCUAAUACAUGCAACAAACCCGACUUCUGGAAGGGAUACAUUAUUAUAUAAAAGGUCAACGCGAGCUAUGCCCGUUGCUCUGAUGAUUCAUGAUAAUUCGACAGAUCGCACAGCCUUUGUGCCGGUGACACAUCAUUCAAAUUUUUACCUUAUCAACUUUCAAUGGUAGGAUAGUGGCCUACUAUGGUGGUGACAGGUGACGGAGAAUUAGGGUUCGAUUUCAAAGAGGGAGCUUGAGAAACGGCUACCACAUCUAAGGAAGGCAGCAGGCUUACAAAUUACCCAAUCCUGACACGAGGAGGUAAUGACAAUAAAUAACAAUACCCGGCUUUAUGUGUCUGGUAAUUGGAAUAAGUACAAUCUAAGUCCCUUAAUGAAGAUCCAUUGGAGGGUAAGUCUGGUGCCAACAGCCGUGGUAAUUCCAGCUCCAAUAACGUAUAUUUAAGUUAUUGCAGUUAAAAAGCUCGUAGUUGGAACUAGGAUUGGGUCAUUCGAUCUACCUCAUGGUAAGCACCGGUCUACUCAUCCCUACUACUAGUGAUGUGCUCCUGGACUUAAUUGCCUGAGUCAUUCCUCUGGCACUGUUACUUUGAAGAAAUUAGAGUGCUAAAAGUAGGCCUACGCUUGUAUACAUUAGCAUUGGAUAACAUCAUAGGAUUUUGAUCUUAUUGUGUUGGCCUUUGGGAUUGGAGUAAUGAUUAACAGGGACAAUCGAGGGCAUUCGUAUUUCAUAGUUAGAGGUGAAAUUCUUGGAUUUAUGAAAGACGAACAACUACGAAAGCAUUUGCCAAGGAUGUUUUCAUUAAUCAAGAAUGAAAGUUGAGGGCUCGAAGAUGAUUAGAUACUGUCCUAGUCUCAACCAUAAACGAUGCCGACUAGGGAUCGACAGAUGUUGCUUUUAAGACUUUGUCGGCACCUUAUGAGAGAUCAAAGUCUUUGGGUUUUGGGGGGAGUAUGGUUGCAAGGCUGAAACUUAAAGGAAUUGAUGAAAGGGCACCACCAGGAGUGGAGCCUGCGGCUUAAUUUGACUCAAUACGGGGAAACUUACUAGGUCUAGACAUAGUAAGGAUUGACAGACUGAGAGCUCCUUCUUGAUUCUAUAGGUGGUGGUGCAUGGCCGUUCUUAGUUGGUGGAGUGAUUUGUCUAGUUAAUUCUGUUAACAAAUGAGACCUCAGCCUGCUAACUAGCUACGCGGAGGUGAUCCUUCGUGGCUAGCUUCUUAGAAAGACUAUGGCCGCUUAGGCCAAGGAAGUUUGAGGCAAUAAUAGUCUGUGAUGCCCUUAGAUGUUUUGGGCUGCUAGUGCACUACACUGAUGUAUUCAACGAGUCUAUAGCCUUAGCCAACAGGCCUGGAUAAUCUUUAAAAUUUCAUCGUGAUGGGGAUAGAUCAUUGCUAUUGUUGGUCUUCAACGAGGAAUUCCUAGUAAGCGCGAGUCAUCAGCUCCCAUUUACUACGUCCUUACCCUUUGUACACAUGCUCAUCACUCCUAUCGAUUGAAUGGUCCAGUGAAGUGCUCGAAUCACAAUGAUGUGAAUGGUUCACCACCCACAAUGUCAUGAGAAGUCCACUAAACCUUAUCAUUUAGAGGAAGGAGAAGUCGUAACAAGGUUUCUGUAGAUGAACCUGUAAAAG
rnacentral:rRNA from 1 species